UACGUAGGGUGCAAGCGUUGUCCGGAAUUAUUGGGCGUAAAGAGCUCGUAGGCGGUUUGUUGCGUCGGCUGUGAAAUCCCGAGGCUCAACCUCGGGUCUGCAGUCGAUACGAGCAAACUAGAGUGUUGCAGGGGAGACUGGAAUUCCUGGUGUAGCGGUGAAAUGCGCAGAUAUCAGGAGGAACACCGGUGGCGAAGGCGGCAUCCUGGAC
rnacentral:rRNA from 1 species